rnacentral:rRNA from 1 species
UACGUAGGGUGCAAGCGUUGUCCGGAAUUAUUGGGCGUAAAGAGCUCGUAGGCGGUCUGUCGCGUCGGCUGUGAAAACUCGGGGCUCAACCCCGAGCCUGCAGGCGAUACGGGCAGACUUGAGUACUGCAGGGGAGACUGGAAUUCCCGGUGUAGCGGUGAAAUGCGUAGAUAUCGAGAGGAACACCAGUGGCGAAGGCGAGUCCCUGGACAACACCUGACACUGAGGCACGAAAGCUAGGGGAGCAAACAGG